ensembl:lncRNA
AAAAGAAGGCAAGGAGUUGUUUUAAUGGGAAGUAUUUGAGGUUGCUGAUUAGAAAUGCACGGUGAAAUGAUAUGACCUCAGCACAACAAAGGCCUGGCACAAUGCUGUCCCUUCCUUCAACAUCAUGACCACCAUAAGCAUAAAAGCACUAAUAUGUAUAAGAAAUUUCACCACUAGUACCAUUUUUUCCAUACUUCCUUCCUAACUCCUGCAAGUGACUUCACUGGUUUCACCUUCCAUCACAUCAGACACAGCUUUCUGUCCUCGCUCCCUAAGCCCUGUCACGUUAUCUCACAUACAGGAUUGCUAUGGCCGUGUCAUAACCAGGAGCACCCAAGUCUCCAUUCCUCCCCCAAGCCCUCAUUUGCUUUUACCUCCUUAUCCCCUCUCAGAGGGCGAAACGGCAUCCAGCCCUCAGUGAGGCAGCUUUCCCUCACCCACCUCAGAACGUGCUGUCACCACAAACUGUCCAGAAGAAACAAUCCAAGGAAGGAUGGUCAUGCGGCGAGCAGGCUCUUCCACUCCCAAGAGAGGAAGAAGGUGUUCGUGCUGCCCCCCUUCCUGCUUCCUCUUGUUCCACACGUUGCACACACUUCAAGACUGAGAAUAUGGUUUUCUACACAUCGCACAAUGAGACCUCUACCAUGACCAGCUUUGCAGGACUCUGCGAGGGCUGGGGCAGUCUGGCAGGAAGCCAACAAGGCCUGCAUCUCUGCAGAGCGUUUCAGUUGUCCUGUGAUGUUGCUGAGUGGCUCUGGGUGACCAGCUUACUUCUUCCAUCGAGGCUGCCCCGGGGGUACACAGGGAGAACACAUAAUCUUUCCACCUAUGGGAAAGAAGCCUUCCCAGGGGAAAAGACAUUCAUGUACCCCGGGAAGCCUCUCUCAUCUGGGAGCAGGCUAGCCUCAGGCUGUGCCUUGACCUCACCUCUGUCUCUGGCUGUCAGCACUGCAGCUGCAGCCUGCUUGGGGCAAGGGAAAGGCUUUCACUGCAGACUGCCAGGACUUGGGAGCUGCAAGCCUGUCUGUUUAAUGAAUGCUCCAUGUGCUGUGCAGCUUGACUCUCUAAUGUCAACGUUCAUUCAGUGCAGAGGAUAAUAACUUGUAGAGAAGAGAGCCACUCCUGCCAAAUCCAGCAAUCAGAGUUCUACCUCCCCUUCCAUAUAGCGAGCACAAUCCUAUAUUUUAAAAAUCUCAUCUGUCGAUCAGGGUAUUUACUAUGCUCUGUAUUCAUCCCCAGGGCUUUUGAGCACUCACUUAUCAAAGCAUUUGCCUGUAAAGUGGGAAUUUAAUUCUGAUCUUUAAAGAAAGGGGGAAAAGCUUAAAUGGCAGGCUGGAUUGCAAACAGGACAGAGGCCUUUACCUUUUGGAUUGCCAUCUAAAAUGAGCAUCUUGCAGAGGGCUUGGUGAAAACAGCCAGAUCUGUGGCAGGCAGCUGCCUGCAUUGCAGCAGGCACCUUGCAGGGGCUGUGAAGGGCUGCAACUGUCCUCUUGCUUCCACAUUCCUCGGGAGGGACAGCUCUGAGCAUUGCUGAAGCCGCAUGGCUAGCUCUACAGCAGGGUCCUGGAGGGCUGAGCGAGAAACUGGAAGGCACCA